rnacentral:rRNA from 1 species
AUUGAACGCUGGCGGCAGGCCUAACACAUGCAAGUCGAACGAGUGGCGGACGGGUGAGUAAUGUCUGGGAAACUAACCGAUGGAGGGGGGUAACUACUGGAAAAGGUAUCUAAUACCGCAUACCAUCGGAUUUGCCCAGAUGGGAUUAGCUAGGAGGUGGGGUAACGGCUCACCUAGGCGACGAACCCUAGCAGGUCUGAGAGGAUGACCAGCCACACGGGAACGGAGACACGGUCCAGACUCCUACGGGAGGCAGCAGUGGGGAAUAUUGCACAAUGGGCGAAAGCCUGAUGCAGCCAUGCCGCGUGUAUGAAGAAGGCCUUCGGGUUGUAAAGUACUUUCAGCGAGGAGGCGUUACUCGCAGAAGAAGCAUCGGCUAACUCCGUGCCAGCAGCCGCGGUAAUUC